rnacentral:piRNA from 1 species
UUGGAGGUUUUGCCAUCAGUGCUGGG